AGGCGCGUAGCUCAAUUGGCAGAGCUCUGGUCUCCAAAACCAGUGGUUGUCGGUUCGAGUCCGGCCGCGCCUGCCA
rnacentral:tRNA from 2 species